rnacentral:rRNA from 1 species
UGGGGGAUAUUGCACAAUGGGCGCAAGCCUGAUGCAGCCAUGCCGCGUGUAUGAAGAAGGCCUUCGGGUUGUAAAGUACUUUCAGCGGGGAGGAAGGGAGUAAAGUUAAUACCUUUGCUCAUUGACGUUACCCGCAGAAGAAGCACCGGCUAACUCCGUGCCAGCAGCCGCGGUAAUACGUGGGGUGCAAGCGUUAAUCGGAAUUACUGGGCGUAAAGCGCACGCAGGCGGUUUGUUAAGUCAGAUGUGAAAUCCCCGGGCUCAACCUGGAAACUGCAUCGAGUACUGGCAAGCUGGAGUCUCGUAGAGGGGGGUAGAAUUCCAUGUGUAGCGGUGAAAUGCGUAGAGAUCUGGAGGAAUACCGGUGGCGAAGGCGGCCCCCUGGACGAAGACUGACGCUCAGGUGCGAAAGCGUGGGGAGCAAACAGG